GCCUGGCUGGCUUAGUCGGUGGAGCACGCAACUCUUGAAUUUGGAGGUUGUGGGUUCAAGCCCCACGUUGGGUG
rnacentral:tRNA from 1 species